AGUGAACGCUGGCGGCGUGCCUAAUACAUGCAAGUCGAACGGAAUUUAAAAGAGCUUGCUCUUUUAAAUUUAGUGGCGCACGGGUGAGUAAUAUAUAGCUAAUCUGCCCCUUGCUGGAGGACAACAGUUAGAAAAGACUGCUAAUACUCCAUACUCCUUUUUACCAUAAGAUAAAUCGGGAAAGAAUUUCGGCAAGGGAUGAGACUAUAUCGUAUCAGCUAGUCGGUGGGGUAACGGCCUACCGAGGCUAUGACGCGUAACUGGUCUGAGAGGAUGAUCAGUCACAUUGGAACUGAGACACGGUCCAAACUCCUACGGGAGGCAGCAGUAGGGAAUAGGGAACAAUGGGGGAAACCCUGACGCAGCAACGCCGCGUGGAGGAUUUCUCUUUUCGGAGAGGAAAAACUCCUUUU
rnacentral:rRNA from 1 species